rnacentral:rRNA from 1 species
AGUGAACGCUGGCGGUAGGCCUAACACAUGCAAGUCGAACGGCAGCACAGUAAGCGCUUGCUCUUACGGGUGGCGAGUGGCGGACGGGUGAGGAAUACAUCGGAAUCUACUUUUUCGUGGGGGAUAACGUAGGGAAACUUACGCUAAUACCGCAUACGACCUACGGGUGAAAGCAGGGGAUCUUCGGACCUUGCGCGAUUGAAUGAGCCGAUGUCGGAUUAGCUAGUUGGCGGGGUAAAGGCCCACCAAGGCGACGAUCCGUAGCUGGUCUGAGAGGAUGAUCAGCCACACUGGAACUGAGACACGGUCCAGACUCCUACGGGAGGCAGCAGUGGGGAAUAUUGGACAAUGGGCGCAAGCCUGAUCCAGCCAUACCGCGUGGGUGAAGAAGGCCUUCGGGUUGUAAAGCCCUUUUGUUGGGAAAGAAAAGCAGCAGGUGAAUACCCCGCUGUUCUGACGGUACCCAAAGAAUAAGCACCGGCUAACUUCGUG